AUAUCUGUACCAUAGAUGUAUCUGCAUAAACUUCUUAAUUGUGACUAUAUUUUUGAUAAAAUGGCCGUAUUAACAUAUUCCUAUUUGUGCAAAACGGAAGGCCACGCUAGCUAGCUUUAAUUCUCUUACAAGAAACUAGUAUAACUUGGAAAAAACAAUGAUAAAGUCAUGAAGAGAUUAUAUUAGUUCAUACUAAACAACACAAUUAGAUCAAAACUAAUGGUGAAUUUUCAGUAUUAAGAAAUUCACUGUCUCUUGAAUCUCCAAUUCAAUUAUGCCAGUAAUCCAAAGAGUUGACUUACUAUACAAUGAACGAGUGCAAAAAGAGGGCAGAAAAAGAGUUAGUUUUCUUGUUCCUGCGAGUGUGAGCACGCACUGAUGCUGCGAAAAUCCUUUUGCUGGUUCAGAUUGCCAUUUUUCGUCUCAGUUCUAAUAAAGAACAUUGACAAUAAUUGAAAAAGAUGAUCAACACAACGCAAGUGAAAAGUGAACAUUGACAUUUUAGAAAGAUGAUCAAUACUGCAGAGCCACAAAACACACAACAGCAAACCAAAACUCAGAACCCAUAGUUAGUAAACAAUAAUUAUUAAACAAAAUUCACAGUUCAGUUCACAAAGCUUCAUAGACUUCACACUUCACAGUUCAGUAUCACUAUAUCAGAUUAUCAGUAUAUCAGACUUCAGACUUCAGUGACUUCAGUUCACAGAGCUUCAUAGAUUCAAACAAUUAUUCAAUCAUACUCAUUAGGGAGAUAGAGACAUGCAACAGUUAUUCAAUCAAACAAUCAUUGUAACAAGGGACAGAGACAAGGAACAGAGUGACCAAGACGCCUUCAGUUCACAGUUUAAAAAAUUACUUGGAAGUUCGAAGAUGCCUUCAACAGAGCAUGCAAGAGGGAGACAGAGACACCGAGUGACCAAGACAAGGAGCAGUGGUGGAGCACCUUCGAACCGAGUGACAAACAGAGCUAGGGACGACGGCGAAGUGGCUAUGCGACGGAGGCUUCGAUGUUCCCACGAUGGCUACGUGAUGGAAGGGGAGGAAGCUUGCAAUGGCUGCUGGGCGAUGGAAGGGAAGGGAGCCAGCCCUGUCGCGACGAUGGCGGCACGAGGCGGUGGCUGAAGUGCUGAACGGAGGCGAGGGACGGAGGUGAGCUCGAUGAGAUUGGGAGGAUGGAGUUAGGGCUAACUGGCUACUGGAGGCUGGAUCUGGGCAUCAGGAUGGAGUGAUG
rnacentral:lncRNA from 1 species